CAGAAAAUAGUUUAACGUAGAAUGCCAGCUUUGGGGGUUGGUGGUGGAGGUUUAAGUCCUCUUUUUCUGA
rnacentral:tRNA from 1 species